rnacentral:tRNA from 1 species
GCAUUGGUAGCUGAGUGGCAGAAUUCAUGCCUUCCAUGCAGGACACCAGGGUUUAAUUCCUGGCCAAUGCA